GACGAACGCUGGCGGCGUGCUUAACACAUGCAAGUCGAUCGGAAAGGCCCUGCUUUUGUGGGGUGCUCGAGUGGCGAACGGGUGAGUAACACUUGAGUAACCUGCCCUUGACUUUGGGAUAACUUCAGGAAACUGGGGCUAAUACCGGAUAGGAGCUCCUGCUGCAUGGUGGGGGUUGGAAAGUUUCGGCGGUUGGGGAUGGACUCGCGGCUUAUCAGCUUGUUGGUGGGGUAGUGGCUUACCAAGGCUUUGACGGGUAGCCGGCCUGAGAGGGUGACCGGCCACAUUGGGACUGAGAUACGGCCCAGACUCCUACGGGAGGCAGCAGUGGGGAAUAUUGCACAAUGGGCGGAAGCCUGAUGCAGCAAAGCCGCGUGCGGGAUGACGGCCUUCGGGUUGUAAACCGAUUUCGCCUGUGACGAAGCGUGAGUGACGGUAAUGGGUAAAGAAGCACCGGCUAACUACGUG
rnacentral:rRNA from 1 species